AGUGAACGCUGGCGGUAGGCCUAACACAUGCAAGUCGAACGGCAGCACAGUAAGAGCUUGCUCUUACGGGUGGCGAGUGGCGGACGGGUGAGGAAUGUAUCGGAAUCUACUUUUUCGUGGGGGAUAACGUAGGGAAACUUACGCUAAUACCGCAUACGAUCUACGGUAGACAGCAGGGGAUCUUCGGACCUUGCGCGAUUGAAUGAGCCGAUGUCGGAUUAGCUAGUUGGCGGGGUAAAGGCCCACCAAGGCGACGAUCCGUAGCUGGUCUGAGAGGUUGAUCAGCCACACUGGAACUGAGACACGGUCCAGACUCCUACGGGAGGCAGCAGUGGGGAAUAUUGGACAAUGGGCGCAAGCCUGAUCCAGCCAUACCGCGUGGGUGAAGAAGGCCUUCGGGUUGUAAAGCCCUUUUGUUGGGAAAGAAAAGCAGCAGGUUAAUACCCCGCUGUUCUGACGGUACCCAAAGAAUAAGCACCGGCUAACUUCGUG
rnacentral:rRNA from 1 species